rnacentral:rRNA from 1 species
UACGUAGGUGGCAAGCGUUGUCCGGAAUUAUUGGGCGUAAAGCGCGCGCAGGCGGUCCUUUAAGUCAGACGUGAAAUCCCUCGGCUUAACCGGGGAACUGCGUCUGAUACUGGAUGGCUUGAGUGUAGGAGAGGGAUGCGGAAUUCCAGGUGUAGCGGUGAAAUGCGUAGAUAUCUGGAGGAACACCGGUGGCGAAGGCGGCAUCCUGGACUACUACUGACGCUGAGUGAGCGAAAGCCAGGGGAGCAAACGGG